rnacentral:lncRNA from 1 species
GAAAAAAAGCGUGUCACACUUGUCAGUCUCCUGAGUGUUCUGUCUGUGUACAUGUGUGCUUGUUUCAGCACAUCCACCACUGUUGCAAGAUGAGAACUGGGAUUCAGGCCUGGUGGUUCUGCUGGUCUGUUAGUUGAAGAGUCCCAGUAUUCCAUCAUGCCUGCUGAACCCACUGUCUGCUAUUACAGUUGUCAUACUGGAACAGGAGUGUUGUGUGAAUGGAAAGAAAUGGACAGGAAUCUAAGUGAAUUGGACAACUAAUGUUACGCACCUGGAGCUGGGGCUAUGGGCCAAGAUUGAAAAACCAGUGCUUGCUUUCAUUCUGAGCAUUGAGAUGGUGAUUGGCAUACUAGGAAAUGGUUUGGUCCUGGUUGUUAAAGUUGUGUGUAGGGAUCAGUUUCAGUGUGAUUACUGGGUGCCGUUCAUCAGUCUCACUCUGUCUGACUUCUGCUGUUCUGUUCUGAUCAUAACCGGCUCAUUCCUGGCCGUUUUGACUGGAGGCCAGGAGUCACCGUGGUGUGAGGUGGUCAGCCUGUUCAAAUUCACCUUUAUCACUUCGUCUUUUGGAAGCGUAGGACUUCUCUGUCUCCAGCGUUAUUUGGGUGCAGACUCCAAAAGACGAUGCUGGUCUGUCAUCGUUAUAGUGACCUGUCUGGUGUCGUGGUUGACAGGUAGUGUAUUUGGAGUCGUGCCAGUGGUCUAUGACUGGAUCAGGUAUGAUUCUUCUGAGAUGCUGUGUGCUGUGUUCUGGGAGAGCAGCUACUCGGACAUGUUGAUCUACAUCCUUUGUGCUAUUACCAUCUCCAUCUUCCCUGCGAUGCUUAUCAUGAUCAUCUUCUCCCUGUUGACCUCGUUGGGCUAUGGAAAGAGUGUGAGCAGCACUGGUGAUCUGUCCUCUGUCACUCCUCUAGUGGUGGGGUCCUUUCUGGUCUGCUACACUCCUUUCAUCCUGUCCGAGCUGAUUCUACUGGGAAGGCUGGACCUCUCACCAUCUCCAGACUGGCUGAGGACACUGUCGUCAGUGUUGGCAUAUCUGGACUGCAGCCUGAACCCCAUCAUCUACUGCACUAAUCAAGGUUUCCGAGAGGCAAUGCUCGCACUGCUCUGGAACACCAAAAAGACGACUUUCCCUGAGCCUGUGCUGACCUGCGUAAAAUGUAUAGAAGUAUAAAUCUAAUAAUAAAAUGAAAGAAAUCUUUACA